AAAGCACUCUAUUAAAACUUGGCACCAAGGUCAGUUGGUGUUCAAGUGUCGGAAGUGUGCCAUAGUGACCUGGCCGGGUUUUCGCUAACACCAUGAGGGCCCAUGCCCCAUGACUGGCGUUUGAUAGUGACCUGAGCCACAAGA